rnacentral:rRNA from 1 species
CGCUCAACGUACAAGUAGCCGUANUUCGCUCCCGGAUGUUACCGGCAGACGGGUGAGUAAGACUUGGGUAACCUGCCUGUAACACUGGGAUAGCUCCGGGAAACCGGAGCUAGUAUCGGAUAGUUCCUUCCCUCGCGUGGAUCGGGGAUGAAAGACGGUUUCGGCUGUCACUUACAGAUGGACCCGCGGCGCAUUAGCUAGUUGGUGAGGUAACGGCUCACCAAGGCGACGAUGCGUAGCCGACCUGAGAGGGUGAUCGGCCACACUGGGACUGAGACACGGCCCCCACUCCUACGGGAGGCAGCACUAUGGAAUCUUCUCCCCUGUACGAAAGUCUGACCGAGCAAACCCCGCGUGAGAUGAUGAAGGUCUUUAUCAUCAUAUUCUCUGUUGUGGUGGAAGAUAACUUUGC